rnacentral:tRNA from 1 species
UCGGAUAUGGUGUAACGGCUAACAUUGCUGCCUCUCAUCUUACGAGAGUUUGGUCCGCAGCAGCUCGGGGUUCGAUUCCCCGUAUCCGAA